rnacentral:rRNA from 1 species
CAGUAGCCGCGGUAAUACGUAGGGCGCAAGCGUUGUCCGGAAUUAUUGGGCGUAAAGAGCUCGUAGGCGGUCUGUCGCGUCUGGUGUGAAAUCCCGAGGCUCAACCUCGGGCUUGCAUCGGGUACGGGCAGACUAGAGUGCGGUAGGGGAGACUGGAAUUCCUGGUGUAGCGGUGGAAUGCGCAGAUAUCAGGAGGAACACCGAUGGCGAAGGCAGGUCUCUGGGCCGCAACUGACGCUGAGGAGCGAAAGCAUGGGGAGCGAACAGGAUUAGAGACCCCUGUAGUCCCUGUCUCUUAUAC